rnacentral:tRNA from 1 species
GCCUGAGUGGCUCAGUCAGUUAAGCAUCUGACUCUUGAUUUCGGCUUAGGUUGUGAUCUCAGGGUUCGUGGGUUCGAGCCCUGCAUCAGGCU